AGAACCCCUGCGUGCGCACGCAGCCAGCCACGGCUGCGCACACGGCUGCGUUUGCGUCUGUGUGUCCCAGCCCCUGGGGCCACGUGCCCCACCCCCCCCACCCCCGCCUCGCCCCCUCGCCAGGUCGCAAUGCUUAUGACGAUAACCGCUUAUUUAUACUUCGUGGGUUCUGAAAGGGAUCCCCCGGUGUGGUUCCCCAGUGCCAGUGUUGUCUGAUUCCAGUCUGGUGCUCCUUGGUUCCUGAGCCAGCCUGAGGAGUCUGAGCAUUCUGUCACUUGCGACCAAGCAGUGUUAAUACAGAGAAGUCACCACUGUGGGAAUGGAGAGGAGCUGGAUCCUGAAGUGGACGUGUCUGGACUUGGUGAGUAGUGCUUCUGUGGGGUGGGCAGCUGCGAAGGAAUCUAGUUUCCUUAUCUGGAAUCUGGAUGGGAUAUCCUGCCUAGGUGCUAGGCGGUGUAUCCCAGACAGGAAGUGAGGAGUAGGAGGGAUGUGAGAGAAGAGAUCCUGGAGCUUGAGGAUGAGGCGGGAAGGAGGGAGAUGAACUCAAGGCAGCUGGGGGCUGGGGGGAGAAAGAGCGCUUUGUAACACGAACCAAUCUGGGUGAUGUGGUUCCAUCUGCCUCAAAUAUUGCUUGACACUUUGUUAUACACCAGGCAGUGUACUGGUUAAUAAAACAGUUUGGGGAUGGGUAUUGUUAUCCUCAUCUUACAUGUAAAGAAAGGGUGAUACAGAGAAGUGAAACAGCUUGUACAAAAUCAGAAAAUCAGAGACCAAAAUUCAAACCUGGGUCUAACUGCUAUGCUGAUGCUCUUAAGAACCUAAACAGAUGCUCAGAUGAGGGAACAAAGUCUCUGCCUCAGUCCCUGAGUUUUUACAUAUUUCCAAUGAGUCCUUUAAGUAAAAUAUUCUCCCUGCAAGUACUUUGUGAGGCAAUGCAGUUGAGUAAUAGAAUCUGGGGGCCUGGUUCACUUUGUAAAUACCAAUUCUUUCAUCCUCUUCCCCUACCGGGGUCCAGUCAAAUGAGCACUAAUACAGACAGUUGGUUACCCACCCCGUGGCCCUUCCACUCCCCUUCUCUCAGCACCCACCUAGGUUGCUUUUAAGUGUUCAUGCUUAUCCUUCUGGGACCAGGGUUAGUACUGUGGCAUUAAUAGUGACAUUACCCCCCUUGCUUGGGAUAGAUUCAAGCAUGUGAUGCGACUCAAUUCUGGCCAAUGAGCAGUGAAGAAUAGAUUCCUAUUCGUUUAUAGGGGGCUUCUGAGAAAAACUUUCCUUGAUCUUAAAAUGGGACACAAUGAUGAGAUGUUUUCUGGGGUUUUAUUUAUUUAUUUAUUUAUUUAUUUAUUUAUUUGCUGCUGUGCGCAUUGUGUGGUGAUGUGAUGUCUGGGGUGGGCGCAACCAUCUUGCAACUGUGAGGCAAGCUAGCCAAGGACGAGGCGACGUGCUGAGAAUGGCAGAAGGGAAGGAAAAGAGGAAGUCUGGGUCACUCAUGAUGAUGCUGAGCUGCAGGAUUAACCUCUUCUGAAGCUAUUGUUCCUCUGGACUUCUUGUUCUCUGAGAUAAGACACUUUCCUUAUUGUCUAAGCCACCUGAAAGAAGUUCUCUGUUUCUGGCCACUGAAAAGACCUUUACCGAUGUAUGAGCCACGGGUUCAAAAGAAUGUACACCCAAUGUGCUAAUGUGAUAUGCCGACAGUUGGAACAACAGCAUUGGUUAAAGGGGAAAACCGGAUUCCUUGACCAAGGGAGGCACUGAAAAGUCCUUUCUCUGCUGGUUCAGUGGGGAGAGAGUGUGGCAGUCUGAGGCCCUGCACUCUGCAUCUCGUCCACGCAUGUGGGAGGCCUCCUAUCAGAGGAGAGGUCUGCUCCUGGCCAGCCGAACUUCUGACUCCCAUUUCCUGUAGGGUCAGCAGAGGAAAGCAGCUUUAUUUACUGAGUCAGGAUGGAAAACAGAUGUCUAAGCACCCCGCUGGGCCCGGGCUCACCCUGGACAGAGGCCGGGCCUGUUCUCAGCCCUGACCCGCCCACCAACCUCUUGUUCCCCAUAUCGAGUCCAGAUGUGGCUUCUUCCAAGCUCUAAUAAUAAUUUUGAUUUGUUGCAGCUAAAUAAACUACACCCCUCCCAGCUCAACCCUUCACUCGCUAACUCUCCAAGGAGUAUGGGAGCAAUGCUAUGAAACAUUUGUUAAGGAACCCCGGGUGGGGCAGAGAGGAAUGUGAAUUUGAGAAGCAGAGCAAUGUGGGUUCAGCCGCAGCCUGGUCUCAUAUUAACUGAGUGAUUUCAACCCUUGUAUCAGUCAUCAAUUGCUGUGUAACAAGCCACCACAAAAGUCAGUGGCUCAAAACCAGCAACUGUUCAUUUGCUCAUGGAUCUAAAGUUUGGGUGGGGCUUGGUGGGACAGCUCAUUCAUUCUCCACAUUGUGUUGUGUUUGGUAAGUGAAGUCAGAUGGGUCAAUGGAGCACAGGUGUGAGCAGAGGUCAGCAUUACCUCUGGGCCCAGCCAGCUCAUUGCUUUCCUGUUCCCAUAGAGAUAGUUCUUUUUCUUCUCAGUCCUUCCUUCCUCAUCAGUAAACUGAAGGCAGAGAAUGUCUGUAGAAUGUGUGCAUAGCAAGAGAAGCUGGAGUUCCUGUCGUGGCUCAGGGGCUAACGAAUCUGACUAGGAACCAUGAGGUUGCAGGCUCCAUCCCUGGCCUUGUUCAGUGGGUUAAGGACCUGGCAUUGCCGUGAGCUGUGGUGUAGGUUGCAGACGCAGCUCGGAUCCCACGUUGCUGUGGCUCUGGGGUGGGCUGGCGGCUAAAACUCCAAUUAGACCCCUAGCCUGGGAACCUCCAUAUGCUGCGGGAGCGGCCCAAGAAACGGCAAAAAGACCAAAAAAAAAAAAAAAA
rnacentral:lncRNA from 1 species